AGGCAGUAAUAGUCUACUAAUCAGGCAUCUCAAACAUCUUAAUUUUUUCCUCAAUUUUUUCUGCAACAGCUCUUUUUCAUGCAUAUUUGUCACAAUGCCGAGAGGUCAGAAGCAGAAACAGCGCCCCCUUCUUCUCAUACGGCGGCACAGGGCUUCGCCUGCUAGGCUUGUCAAGCUGUACAAAACCAUGUCUUCUAAUCAGAUGAGAUGAAGAUGAUAUGUGAUGUGGAAUUCGGCGGGCUGCUGAAGAUCUCUUGCGAAACAAUGCAGCGGAUCUCGCUAACUGGCUUUUCUUUGACUGUUUUGAUGCUGACUCCUCAGAGCUUGUGCUUCAUGGAAGGGGUAGGAUCUCUGUUACAGCAGAAGUUGUCGCUGACAUACUGGGCUUACCAAACAAGGGCGGCGAAGUGAAAUACGAGUUUGAUUUGGAAGCUGUUAACUUUAUACUCUGUACAAAAUUGUCCAUGGCACAGCACCCAAAAUUGAAGCAAUUAUGGAAAGGGUGUGAAGAAAAAUAACAUUGAAAUGAGGAUUUCCUGAGAUCAUGGCUGAUAAUUGUUGUAUCCACAUUCUUGUGGCAUUCAUGCUCCAACUAGUUUGUGCAUCAGUCCAAGGUGUUAUGAGGAAUAGUUGAUCUUUCAAUGGUCAAGGAGUUGAAAUCUUUCAAUGGUCAAGGAGUUGAAUUGGUGCAAGUUUGUUGUGGAGCAGCUCCAGGAUGCCGCUAAAAAGAUGGACAAGAAAAACUCAGCGCGGGGGUUGCCUUUUCCUACUUGAGAUCCUUUACGCAGAUUCACCAGCGGUUGAUAAUGUAGAAAUCAGUGUCACUAAGGCUCAGGUCGCUACAUGGACGAGGAAGCUAUUGGACGAGGUGAUUAAGCUGGACAUAAACCAUGAUGGCUCAUUCGGCAAACUUAAGCUCAAACAAUCAAGAUAUUCAGUUAUCCAGAAUUCACUUUUCAAGAUGGAUGAUUUAUUCAAAUUUGUAACAUCAAAGGCUCGGCAACAAAUGCCAUUACAGCUUUGCUAUCGCCGCACAUUUUUUAUGACACUAGCAACACUGUUUCAGCAUUAGUCAAGAAUAUAUAUUAUCUACUGGCAACAUACUAACAGCAUUAGUGAUGGUGUGGACGACAGGGAAGCAACCAAGGGGGAUAUCCAGCACUUCUGUCCAGAAAUUUACACACACAUGUUACUUUUUCAAAUCUCUAUGUAUAGCAAUUUGUUCGGGUAAAACAAAUAAGGUCUGUGUGGUUUUUGCCUCCGGAGGAUGUGUUUUUCCCUGUGGAUCUAUUAUGUUGCUAGUACCCUAAAACAAAACUGCAGAUGAUGGAUACAUAGUAGUAAAAAGACUCGUCUUGAUAUGCUCA